rnacentral:rRNA from 1 species
ACCCGCUGAACUUAAGCAUAUCAAUAAGCGGAGGAAAAGAAACCAACAGGGAUUGCCUCAGUAACGGCGAGUGAAGCGGCAACAGCUCAAAUUUGAAAUCUGGCUCACGCCCGAGUUGUAAUUUGUAGAGGAUGUUUCGGGUGAAGCCGCGGCCCAAGUCCCUUGGAACAGGACGUCAUAGAGGGUGAGAACCCCGUACCUGGCCGCCGGUGCCCCCCGCUGUGAAACUCCUUCGACGAGUCGAGUUGUUUGGGAAUGCAGCUCUAAAUUGGUGGUAAAUUCCAUCUAAAGCUAAAUACCGGCCAGAGACCGAUAGCGCACAAGUAGAGUCGAUCGAAAGAUGAAAAGCACUUUGAAAAGAGAGUUAAAAAGUACGUGAAAUUGUUGAAAGGGAAGCGCUUGCGGCCAGACUUGCCUGCGGUUGCUCAUCCCGCCUUUUGGCGGGUGCACUCUUCCGCAGUCAGGCCAGCAUCGGUUUGGGCGGUCGGAUAAAGGCGUUGGGAACGUGGCCUCCCCUCGCGGAGGUGUUAUAACCCGGCGCGCAAUGCGACCAGCCCGGACCGAGGUUCGCGCUUUGCUAGGAUGCUGGCGUAAUGGCCGUAAGCGGCCCGUCUUGAAACACGG